rnacentral:rRNA from 1 species
CACGUAGGGGGCAAGCGUUGUCCGGAUUUAUUGGGCGUAAAGAGCUCGUAGGCGGUUCGCUAAGUCGGGUGUGAAACCUCCAGGCUCAACCUGGAGACGCCACCUGAUACUGGUGUGACUCGAGUCCGGUAGGGGAGCGUGGAAUUCCUGGUGUAGCGGUGAAAUGCGUAGAUAUCUGGAGGAACACCGGUGGCGAAGGCGGCAUCCUGGACCGGUAUUGACGCUGAGGCGCGAAAGCCAGGGGAGCAAACGGG